UGGGGAAUAUUGCACAAUGGGCGCAAGCCUGAUGCAGCCAUGCCGCGUGUAUGAAGAAGGCCUUCGGGUUGUAAAGUACUUUCAGCGGGGAGGAAGGGAGUAAAGUUAAUACCUUUGCUCAUUGACGUUACCCGCAGAAGAAGCCCCGGCUAACUCCGUGCCAGCAGCCGCGGUAAUACGGAGGGUGCAAGCGUUAAUCGGAAUUACUGGGCGUAAAGCGCACGCAGGCGGUUUGUUAAGUCAGAUGUGAAAUCCCCGGGCGCAACCUGGGAACUGCAUCUGAUACUGGCAAGCUUGAGUCUCGUAGAGGGGGGUAGAAUUCCAGGUGUAGCGGUGAAAUGCGUAGAGAUCUGGAGGAAGACCGGUGGCGAAGGCGGCCCCCUGGACGAAGACUGACGCUCAGGUGCGAAAGCGUGGGGAGCAAACAGG
rnacentral:rRNA from 1 species